GUGCUUGCUACGGUGGCAUAUAUACUAAAAUUGGAUCGAUACAGAGAAGAUUAGCAUGGCCCCU
rnacentral:snRNA from 12 species